GACGAACCGUGCGAACGUUGUUCGGAAUCACUGGGCUUAAAGGGCGCGUAGGCGGGUCGCAAAGUCAGGGGUGAAAUCCUCCAGCUUAACUGGAGAAGUGCCUUUGAUACUGGCGGUCUCGAGGAAGGUAGGGGCAUGCGGAACUGAUGGUGGAGCGGUGAAAUGUGUAGAUAUAUGGAAGAACAUCAAUAACGGCGAAGGCAGUUAACUAUUCUGUUACUGACGUUGAGGCACGAAAGCGUGGGGAGCAAAACGG
rnacentral:rRNA from 1 species